AGCAACCUAUAAGCCCACACAUACGGGGCCACCCCCAUCUCUCCAUCCCAUAAUAAGUCCCUCUUUGGCCUUCUCCUUAUCGUUCUCCCUCUGCCAUCCCAUAAUAACCCCAAUCUCCUUGCCAUCCCAUAAUAAUUGUCCUUAUUAUUCCGUAAAAAUUCUUCUCAUCCCAUUCUAUAAUAAUUCUCUUACCAUUUCGUGAUGCUUUUCUUCUACCUACCAUCCCAUAAUAAUCUCGCCGCCACCCCAUAAUAUCGUUUCUGCCAUCCCAUAAUAUCGUUUCUGCCAUCCCAUAAUAAUUUCCCCACCAUCCCAUAAUAAUUCCUCUUGCUAUUCCAUAACAAUUCCACCUCCCCCCAUCCCAUCCUAUAAUGCUUUUCUUCCGUCCCAUGAUGCCUCUCUCUGUCUGCCAUCCCAUAAUAAUCCCCCUGCCAUCCCAUAAUAACCCCCCUGCCAUCCCAUAAUACUGCCCCCCAACCCUCUCUUGCCAUCCCAUAAUGCCCAGCUGCGCCAGCUGGCCGCCGUUCUGCUCCGCCGCUGCCUCACGGCGGGAAGAUGGCGGCGCCUGGAUCCGGAACUCAGGCUCAGGCUCCCGUCCCUAUUGGUUGAGGCUCUGGAGAAGGAAACAGAAGCUUUGCCGGGGGGGGCUUCAACCUGGGACCCCCCCCCAGAGCAUUUCCUACGCCUUGAAGGCGAUCGGGGGGCUGGCAGCCGCCGUGGGGGGGGAGCAGACGGAUUUGCUGCGCUCGCUGCUCCCCGACAUCCUGAAGGCCCUCCGGGUUUUGAUGGACGCCGACGAGGAGUUGGGCGCCGACGCUUUGGAGGUGCUGGAUGAACUCGUGGCCGCCGACCCCAAAGCCGUGACCUCUGACCUCCGACCUCUGCUUGACCUCUGCCUGGAGGUGGGGGGGGGGGGCGGGGCCAAGGGGGUGGGAGGAGCCAAUGAGAAACCGUGGUUCUGCUGCCAUUGUGUGUAUUACCACGCGAAGCUCCGCCCCUUUGCCCAUAUAUGGAAGCAGGGGGGCGGGGCCACGGUGUGAACCGAUGCCCUUUUAUGGCGAUGGGGCGGGGUUAUGCAUGAAGCCCCGCCCCCUUUGCCCUUUUAUGGGGUUUUGCCAUAUAUGGCAGAGGAGGGGCGGAGCCGUAGGGUGAACUGAUGCCCUUUUAUGGUGAUGGGGCGGGGUUACAGUUGAAGCUCCGCCCCUUUGCCCUUAUAUGGGGCUUUGCCAUAUAUGGCAGGGGGGGGGCGGAGCCACAGUGUGAACCAAUGCCCUUUUAUGGGUGUUGGGGCGGGGCCACACACAGCCCUGCCCCCCUUUGCCCAUAUAUGGAAGAAGGGGCGGAGUCACACUGUGAGCUGCUGCCCUUUAUGGGUGUGGGGGCGGGGCCACAGUGGAAGCCCAGCCCUCUUUGCCCA
rnacentral:lncRNA from 1 species